CCCAGCCUGUGCCCCUGGGGCUCAGUCCUCCGACGACACUGGCUCCCUUACUGACCAUCCUGUCACAGAACUUUAACCUGCGUCUCUGCCAGCAGGACACCUCAGCUACUCCCUGCAGCCUGGGCCUGCCCAUGAACUCCAGGCGCCUGAUUCACUUGCUUCUACAGCAUCUCCGCUUGGGCAACUAACAGGCAUCUCAUACCUCUCACGUCCAGAACCGGACUCCUGCUCUUCCCACCUGCAAACCUGACCACUCCCCACUUCUCAGAUCAAAUCCCAAGCCUGGACCUUGACUCUCUUCUCUCUUUGUCUCAGCCCCACUCAAUCUAUUCGGCUAUCUCGCCAAAUAUCGCUGCCUCCAAAAUAUAACCGAGUCUAACCAGUUCUCUCCAUAUCCUCCCCACCACUCUGGGCCCACCCACCACCAUCCGCAUUGAUGACUGUGACCUCCCAAAGGUCCCCGUUUUCACCCUGCCUGCCUGGCGUCAGUGCUCAGCAGCCCAGGGAUCCAGGUCUCACUUGCGGCACGUGGGAAUUUUAGUUGCUGCGUGCACACUCGUAGUUGCAGCACGUGGGAUUAAGUUCCCUGACCAGCGAUGGAACCCCAGCCCUCUGCAUUAGGAGCACAGAGUCUUAGCCACUGGACCACCAGGGGAAGUCCUUUAAUUGCUACAGCUGUCACUGCCGUCCUGAUCUGGCCUUGGUCCCCGUAUUGGCUGCCCCUCCUCCCAGACAGGACACUCAGGCCGGGCUGGUCAGCUCCAAGCCCCUCCCCGGGGUCCAUUCUGAGCCAGUCCUUGCAGUUGAGACAUCCUGCUCCCAAGUCUAGCCCAGGUGCCUCCAACUGUGGGCCCAGAUCUUGGAGCCCAUGCCCUCCCCAUUUUCUUGACAGAAUGAACUCCAGGAGGCCAGCAAGUCCUCCUGGGCCAGAGACCCAGGCCCCCAGCACUGAUGUCCCUCCUCCACCAGCCCCUGCCUCCUCCACAGAGGAUGGCUGAAUGGCCAUUGCAAGUCAGGCCCUUCUAGAUGUUGGAGAUACAACUACAGGUGGAGCCCUGGCUACUGGUCUGGGCCUCAGCUCCGGCCCAGAGUGCCCCUCCACACUGAGUCCAGAGAUGCAGAGAAGGCAGAUUUGACCCUGUUAAAUCGCGGAGGCCCGACUGAAGCGACUUAGCAGCAGCAGCAGCAGCUUCUUGGGGAGAGGUCAGGCCUGUCCCCACCGGCCCUGCCCUUCUCGCUCAUCAUACCCCCGGGAUGUGCAUGUGCCGGAGAGGCUCUCUCCCUGGGGCUCAGGCCUCCCCUCCUCUAGGAUUUUGGGGCCUUGAACACGUUCCCAGCCACCCUGCCCCCCUCUCUUCCUCCGGGCUUGGAGGUCACCUUCCCCGGGCCAGUAGACGCCCCCCGCCACCACAUGUGCUAUCCUGCGGAGCCCUGCGGUCCCCUCUCCCGCCCCUCACCCCGUGAGGGCUGGGACCGCGCCAGUCCUGUUCCGCGGCAUCCCCAGCGCCCCACAAAUCCGUGUCGAAUGAAUGAAUGUCUCCGGGCCCGAGCCUCGGCCUCAUUCAAGUCAGAUCUUCCGGGCCCUCCCCGGCCCGGCUCCGCCCUGGGUGGGGUUGGGUGCGGGGGCCGGAGCGCCGUGGAUCGCCGCCAGGGAGGUGACGG
ensembl:lncRNA